rnacentral:tRNA from 1 species
GCUUCUGUAGCUCAGUGGAUAGAGCAGCAACCUCCUAAGUUGUUGGCCAUGCGUUCGAUUCGCAUCAGGAGCACCA